CCCGUUUCUGCAGCUGAGUCGGAAACAAGAUAAGGGUCAGAGUCCGAUGUGUGCACAUGGGUCAGCAUCAUUGCCGUGCAGAAGGAAUCGCUUACGGAAGUAGUGCUGCUACCCCAAACGCUCUGAUUAGGGGUGAAGCCUCAGCGGAACCAGUGGGAGUUACUUCCGUGUAGACGGGCAGGAAAAGCAGUGAGGCACCAAGGACCCUUUGCCGUCUCGGUGGGAAACGUCGCUGGAAUGCCCACCCAUCUUCUGUUCCCGGCGCGCUUGCCAGAAAGUAGCGUGGACGUUGCAAUCCACGCAGCGACUGAACUUGCCUGGGGCGCCGAAUUGAGACCUUGCAGGUGAAGGGACAAAAGGACUAGCUGAGGACGUGGAGGGGUAACCUAAGAAGCAGCCCCCACACGACAACCCAAGAACAGGGCUACACAAGGGAAGCAGGUGACGAGAAAGAGGCGGACUCUGCUACUACCUCCACCCACUCAGUUCCCGCAUCAGCUGGCAGGGCAGCCCCGCGAGCCUCCCGCGGUUUCCCCCGCCAUUGCUGCUGGCUGGCCACUCUCCUUCGCCGACCGAAUAGGGGCUGCCAACACAGUAUUGGGACGAUCACUAGGCGGCAGCAAAUAGAUUUUCAGUAUUUCUUUGAUGCCAUCUUGUGGUCAUCCGGUUUUCUGUUGCCCAGGUGAGAGGUUUGCCUUGGGGCCCAAAUAACUUCCAGAUGUCCAUCAAGGCCAUUCCUUAAUGCAUCUCCUGUUCUGAUGUUGUCCCAAAUAAUGGAAUGUGUUUUCUUUUUCUUACUGGGAGUAUUGAUGUUUUGCUCCAAAACUGUAGUAUUAAUUUGGAUAGCGUGGAAUAUGAAAGAAUGGAAAUUAAACACCCCAACCCUUUUCCUUUAGUCUAAAGCUCUUCUCAAGUUGCCCAAUUAGAACCAUUUAGUACUGCAUUUCUCCUAUCCUGUCAGUAGGGGGCUGGACUUUGCAGUCAAUACAAGCAAGUGCAUUUGAAAUGGCCUAAUCAAGCCAGUGAUGUUUCUGACAUUGGUAAAACCUGGAUGUAUUUUCUAAGAUAAAUUCUAAGACAAAUUAUUUCCAAUAAUUUGGUGAAUGCAGCUGAGAUAUGUAAUAUCCCAUAUCUUCAGUAUUCAAGGUUGAUCUCUUGAGUCAGUAGAUAGCAUUUCCUUUGCCAUUACUUCUAUUUUGCACAUUCAUUUGAACGUGCAAAAUAGAAGUACUGUAUUGUAUAACUUGCCCAAAAAGAGUUGUAUUCUUUAAGAGGGCCAGCUGUUUCUGUUUCAAAGAAGUGGCAUCCUAUUAAAAAUCUUUUCUACAC